UACCAGUGGAAGCGAGCCAUCGAGCCA
rnacentral:piRNA from 1 species